GGGGUUGUGGCUCAAUGGUGGAGCACUUGCCUAGCAUGCAUGAGUCACUGAGUUCAAUUCCUACACCA
rnacentral:tRNA from 1 species